AAGGGAAAGAAAAAGUCAAGAAUCUCGAGAAAGAAAUAAAUCGGGCCCAGUUAAGGUCAGGGAUAGGGAAAAAAGGAAAAAGAGUCUUUAUAUGAGGGGAUGACAGGUGAGCCAAGCAGUUUACAAAAGAAAAAGCCUCAUAGUAUUGCGAUAUAAGGAUGUCUAUUUGAACCUGUUUGACUGACCUAGUCCUACCUUGUGGUAUUGUUUCCCUCUUACCCGAGUUUGAGGAUUUCC
rnacentral:lncRNA from 1 species